GGUCUUCUCACCACGACCAUGAGUACGUUUUUCUUCCCCUCUUUAGUUUUCUCAAAUUUUCAUGAAUUUGAUUUAGAGAUGGCUAGCCAUGUCAAUGGAGGGAUUUUUCAUGGAAAAUAUUUGAAUUUGCUCGUAAAUUGUAAGUAUGGAGAGAACAUUUUUAUUGGGAUUAUCAAUUUUUCUCAAGUGUGAAAAUGGGGAUUUGAGUUGAGGCAUUGAGGCUCUUCGUGUUUUUCUUAAAUUUUUGAGUAAAUGAUAUGAAGAAAUAUCUAUCCUAGCUGUGUCAGAAAGGAAAAUGGAAUAAGUAGUGGCUUCAAUUGAGCCGUAUCAUCACAAGUGCAUAGAGCUCAGCUCAGGAUCCCCAGAAUGUUUAUAUAUAUGUAAAGCCACCAAGAUAAGGCAAGAUUUGUAGAAGUUACUUGUUUGGCUGGCAUAGUUGUUCAAAAAUCAGGAGUUCAUAGCCACUCCAUUAUCUGAAAUGUUUAAUGAAAAAUAAGAAGAUAUUAGUGUUCAUUGUUAGCUUAUAAGGAAUGUUCGGAAGGUCAUUGACAGCAUCUAAUAGUCAUGUUAAGGUCUUGCAAUCCAAGAAUCAUUGCAUCGUUUAUAGUCCUAGUUCGCAUGUGAAUUAUUCAUAUUUUAUUAAAAUAAAAUAAUAAUUUGUUUUUAGUGAAGUCAAGCCAUCAAUUCUAGUCUUGGAUAGCAUUCAUAACUUUGGUUUAUAAAAUGAAAGGAAAAAAAAUGGUGUCAACAAUAUUCCCAGUGUUCUAUCAUGAAAAACACCAUAUCACUGUUGAAGUAUGGUCACCUAUUUGUUUGAUUGUAAUUUUUAACAUUUUAGGAUCCAUUUUCAGGAACUUUUCAAUAACUAUUUCAUGAGAUAUUUUUCUGACAUAAGAGUAUUACGAAAAUAUACAAUUUAAAGUUGUUUGUGCAUAAACUUUAUAGAGAAAAACUACCUAUUUGACUUCUGAAGGAACCACAAAAAGGAAACAAAGCCAUUUUCCCCCUUUUAGAUUCUUGGCAAAAUGCUGAAUUUUAGAGCAAAAUUUCUUGAUUCAGUUCUUGUGUUGUGAAUCUAAUAGUGUAGCUUUUGUGCUUGACAUGGAUGCUCUUUUUUGAUUAAUGCCACAAGAAAUAUUUAGUGAAAUGUAAGAAAAUAAAAAGAAAUUUAUCAAGUGAGGUUGUCAUUUCAUUUGAAUGCCAAAUAUAUUUUUCUUUAAUUAUUAUUAUAUUUUUUUAAAUUUCUAAACUUUGUAGGUCAUGAUGACUCAAACUAAUGGGCAAACUGAUGCAAACAAGGGAAGAAAUUUUGAAAAUAAUAGGAAAUUCAAUAGCUGAUAUUUAUCUAUUUGAUUAAUCAGUAAUGAUCCAAUACUAAGGGUGAACAGGGGUUCAUAUAGAGGCAGAAACUCAAAUCUAACAGGAAUAAAAAGUUAAUUAAGCUUUAAUCCUAAACUUGUGGGGUCAACCCUGUCGAUUCUUUCCCUCUAUUCCUUGCACUUUGGACCAUGUCUAGAGAAGGUCCAGUGUUAUUAUACUUAUAGGAUAGUAGAAAAUCUUUGUGGUUAUUCUUAUUUCAAUCUAUUAUAUGACAUUUUUCUAUAUUUCAUUACAUCUGCAAUGCGGAUAAUAUAUCACAGUACCACAUUUCUAGACAAUAGCAUUUACAUUCUCUUUUUGUUCCAUGUACCAAAGUAUCCCUCUGUGUGUGUGUGUACAUCACAUGAAGGUGUGCUUAUGUGAACAUAUGGUUGGUUAUUAAUGUUGCAGUAGAAUAAAAAUGAGAAGGAAAACCAAAAUCUUUGGUGGUGGCAAGAUGAUGUAAGGUUAAUUUGACUAGUGUCAUAAACAGCAUGUUAUGUAACUAUUACAGAAAUAAGUAUUUGAUUUUAGCGUCUCAAGAAGUUGCAAUUGGCAACUGUCAUCAGUACAUGUUCUCAAUCAUACACUUGUGCUGUUUUAAUCUCUCUCAUUUUUAAUGGAAAAUAGUAUAUUUCGUGAGACAGAGAUAAAUUUGCUAAUAGCAUAUCAAUUUCUUUUUAAAAUUGCUUAUCUCCAUAACUGGCUUUAUUUGUACCCCUUUAUAAUAGCAUAUAAAUUUCUUUAUAAAAGAUGGUUCCGAAUUUUAAAUCAAAUGGAGCAUGUAUUUUGCAUUGUUUAUGUGCUUUUCAUGUGCUUUAAAUUCAAAAUUUUAGAUCAAAUGAAUUUUCUUGAUAACAGAUGUAGUAUAUGCUUUGAAUUUUUGAUGUAAUAAUGGUUUCAAAACAUGGCUGUUACCGAGUAGUUUAAAACCAUGGUUCUUGUAUCAUGCAUUAGUGGUAAGAUGCCAUAAGUAGACCUGGCCAAAGGGCUAGUAGUAAGAUGCCAUAAGUAGACCUGGCCAAAGGGCUAGUAGUAAGAUGCCAUAAGUAGACCUGGCUGAAGGGCCUGUCCAAGCCGGUUCUGGAUCAGAACUGGCGGUUCUGGUUCAAGGGGACUGGAAUUGAACUGCAGGCACCCCAGGUUCCUUUUCGAUUCCAGUUUUGAUCAAAUCCAACGGUUG
rnacentral:misc_RNA from 1 species